CUCCUGUUCAGCCUGCAAGAGAGCCAGGCCUGCUCAAAGCAGGAAGGAGCCUGGAAGGCAGCGAAGGCUCCCGGGCCAUCCUGUGGCCUGCCCGGCAAGAGGAAAUUGCGAAAACAUCAUCAGGUAAAUCUAUAGUUUUGAUUUGUUUUUAACUGUUUUACAACUAGUGCAAAUAUUAUAGUGUCAUUCUCUACCCCGUUUCCUUCCUUAUACCCCCACUCUAAUUUUAAGGUUCAUAUUAUUUGGUGGUUGUUUGUUUCAAAACAACACAUUUUAUGCUAAGCAUCUACUUAGAAAAAAGUUAACUCUCAUCUGUCUAUGUUAAAUGUAGGAAAUGAGUCUUGGGUUACCCAGUUGGGACAAAUCCUUAGGUGUGGAUUCAGACGUGGACAGUAACAGGGAGGUUCCUAUAGCCACUGGUAAAAGUUAAGGAGAGCACGACUUGAGAAAUCUCACCUUUUGAGCUGCUUUGGAGGGACUCGUUUUUGCUGCCUUUAGGACUUCCCCUGGGUCUCUCAGGAGAGGGCUCAAAUGUUGGCCCCUAAUUGGGGGGGAUGCUGUCGUGGCAAGACCCUCUGAAUGAAAUUGAUCCUGACUCUAUAUUUGCUGCAUAUGCUGCUCAACAGAGCUGUUGGAACACAUUCCGUUCAAGCACAAGCAGAUGGUACAGAGUUUACAGAAAAGGGAAACAGCUCUCCUUUCAAUCCAUUCCAGCUGCCCUUUGCAGAGCUGGGACGCUCCCGGGGCGAGGCACGCGGCCCAGGGCGUGGCCUCUCGGUGGGCUGGGGCCCCUGUUCUCACGUGAGAUCACUCGUGAAAGGGGCGGGGCGAAGCAGGCUGGGAAAAUGGUCUGGAACGGCAGGGGCGGAGCCAGUGCCUGAUUGACAGUUGAGGGGCCAAUGAGAGAAAGCAGGCCAGAACAAGGAACACGCCGCCUUCAGUUAAACUGUCAGGGCGCGUGGGAAAUCUAACUCGUAUUGCCUGUCAGGUUCUCCACUUGGCUGGUCUCCGCCUAGCGCUCUCAAACUGACCUUUUCUGGCGGUCUUAGAACCCAUUCGUGGACUGUCUCCUCCGUCGUCUGUACGUUUCUCCACAGGCGCUGAAAUAUCAGCAGCCAUGGGAACCACAUCAUCUGUAAGGUGCUGCCCAGCAGCCAUGUGUCCCUUGUCCCCUAUAGAGAACUACACAGAGGUUGGUAGAAGAGAAUUGGAGUGGCUCAUGUUCAACAUGCCCAAGAACAACUUUGUGGGGUGUCUGCAAAGAGCUGGUGAGGUAAGGAUAUCUGAGACAUCUUUCUGGCUUCAGCCAAGGUGGGACACCUCCAUCCACAGAGCUGGUUGGGCACCUACCCAGCCAAAUUUCCUGUGAGCAGAGCGUGACUUGGGUCCAGUUCAUUCACAGCUCCAGUCUGGUUCCCAUGUCUGUUCUCCUCAUGUGACCCAUAACUUCUCCACUCCCACAACCCCUGGUCCAGCUGGAAUCCUGUCUCCACACUCACUCCUCCUCUUCCUUCCUCUGCCAGAGAUUGUCAUUCUUUUUAUUAUUUCCUCCCUCUAACCUUCCCUUAUUCCUGAGUACCCUCUCUCCUCUAGGUUUAUGCAGAGAAUAUGUUAGUCACAUUCCAGAGGAUACAAGUAAAAAUCUUAAAGAACAAGAGUUGUCACGUGCACGAUGCCAGAUGGUGGCAGACAUAACCAUCCUGUUUCUGAAGAGAAUGUUACAAGACUGAGUGGUGUAUGUGUGCAGGAAGAAGGGGGUGUUAGCAGAUGAUAACCCAGUUGGAUCUGACACAUUCACAGAGUUCUACAAGUCUUCAUGGGAUAGGGUCUUUCCCAAUGUCAUUUAUAUAUAUUUUCCUAUGAAGAUCUUGAUCUCUUUGGUCCAGUGCCUUCUGUCAGUACCCUAUAUUUUUGCUGCUAUUAUAAAUAGUACUGUUUAAAUUAAGUCUUUAAAUUCUGUAUUGCUGUUAUAAAGAAAUGUAAGUACAUGUUGAUAUAUUCACUCAAAUGGCAAACUCUCUUAUUCUGAAAUUUGAUCAGUAGAAUUAUUUCAGUUUCUAUGUGAAAUAUAAUUUCUUUUAAAAGAGUAAGAAUUAUGCUAUUUCUCCAAUAAAAUGUUGACUAGCAGCUAUGAUAAAGACAUUCUUGAUUUUAAAGAGAAUGCUUCUAACAUGUCACCAUAAAGAAUGAUAUUUAUUGAAGUUAUUUGGUUAAAAUCCUUAAUGAGAUUAGAAAGUGUCUCUACUAAUCCUGGUUUGCAACAAAUCAUGAACAUGAAUGAAUGUUGAAUUUUAUCUAAAUGUUUUUUCUGGAUAUUUUGUGAUGAACAUGUAUUUUUGUCUAGUAAUCUAUUAAUAUGGUUAGUUACAUUAAUGCAUGUAAAACCAAUUUUAAAAUGUUAUAAGUAAACCAAACUUGGCAAUGAUAUUUCUUAAACAUGCUAAAAAUCCAGUUUACUAAUAAUUUAGAAUUUUUGUUUACCUAUGCUCAGGAGAUAGACGAGCCUAUUUUUUUUUUUUUUUGCUUUUGUGUAGUCUUUAUCAGGUUUUAGAUAAUAGGAGACUCAUAAAGUUCACUGCCUCCAUGCCCCCCACUCACCACGGUCCUGCUGGCCUUCAGGGUGGGGCAGAGAGGGGUACCCCAGGCCGGGGACCCACUGCCCAGGUUUAAGCCCCCUCCAGAUCUGCUGGGCAGUGCCCUGCCCUCUCAGGGUUCAGCUCUUGGACCACUCCCAGCUGGCAUGAUCCUGCUGCCUGUCUGCACUUCCUAGGCACCCCAGUUGUGAAGUGUCCAAGGACUUUGCCUCUGGAGGGUGGGAUAGGGCGAGGGUGGAAAAUGACAGUUUAACUCUGUUAAAAUUUACGGCUUCUGCCUUAUUGAAAAAGAAUAAAUCAAGUGAAAAAAAAUAAGCCACACACUGGGAGGAUAUUUGCAACUAUUAAUAAAGUAACAGUAUCCAGAAUAUAUAAUAUAAAGAAUGUUAAUGAAUCCAUAUGACAAGGAUAAAUAUCCCAGUGGAAAAUGCACACACAGGCAUGAAUAGACACUCUGAAAAGGAGAAAGUGUGAAUAACAAAAAGUCAUGUGAAUACAUGCCCAAUUCCAACAGUAAUUAGGAAAUGGUAAAUUAAGACAACAAGGAGAUGUGUAACCAAUAGGCAAAAAUAUAAAAAUAUAACCACAACAAGUGUCAUGAAAGACAUGAAGCAAGAGAACCCUUAUAUGCUGUUGGGAGAACAAUACCAGAUUUCAAUGAUUAUAAAAUGUCACUAAUUUAAAAUAUUCCAUUACUUUAAAUACAAUUCCAAAAGAGAAAACAAAACAAAGAAACAACAACAAAAAAGGACCAAAAAACCUCACCAAAUCAAUACUUAUCAUUUGUAAUUUUUAUGUUGUAUAUAUUGAAGGAUCUAUUUCACUCUUACUAAAGGGUGUUUAAUCAGAGGCCACUCUAGUGCAUAGAAACAUAAAGAAAAUGAAAUUGAUAAAGGGGUGUCUAAAAAUGUUUUACAAUUGUAAUCAGCUCCAUAAACAAGAACAUAUUUUUUAUAGUUGUUUUUCUUGUAGUUCUCUUAUGUUUCAAGUUCCCAGGCUAGUAAGAUUUACUAAGCAGAACUUUGUGGUGGAGACUACCUGUAGGCAGAGAUCACUAUCCACCCUCACACCACCUAUUUGUCCAGAGAAGACAGGAUAAACUACAGCCCACCACAGACUGUGCCCAAGUACCCACUGAACCUGCGCACAAGUCUGAAAGAAUGACCAAUAUUAACCCCUAGCUCAUUAUAUUACUAAAGUCCCCAUCCUGGGAGGGACUUGCCCCCUAUUUUUGAUCAUUGCAUGUAUGAACUAGAAUGAUUCCUCACUGUGCUUCCAUGCUCUGCACUCCACACCAAAGGUAAUGAUGCUCACUCCCGUCAUGCAUUGUUCAUUUCACCUCCAGAAACACCCCUGACCCUGCUGAUUGGGGAUGCAGAUUUGAGACAGUUCAUACCUCCCCCCCUCCCAGUAGACAGGUCCACUAUAAUAAACCCUUUCUUCCUGGAGAAUCCUCCUUGUCUCAGUAAUUGGCUUUCUGUGCAACUAGCAACAGUGAACCCCCCUCGUGGGUUUGUUAGCACAAUUGAUUUUCUGAAUUCCUUUUGAAUCAGAGUUGUCUAUGCCAGCAGUCCCCAACCUUUUUGGCACCAGGGACUGGUUUCAUGGAAGACAAUUUUUCCACUGAUGGUGGUGGG